rnacentral:rRNA from 1 species
AAAAAAGGUAAGCUACUAAGAGCGAAUGGUGGAUGCCUUGACUGGUAAAGGCGAUGAAGGACGUACUAGACUGCGAUAAGCUACGGGGAGCUGUCAAGAAGCUUUGAUCCGUAGAUUUCCGAAUGGGGCAACCCAAUGUAUAGAGAUAUACAUUACCUAUAUAGGAGCGAACGAGGGGAAUUGAAACAUCUUAGUACCCUCAGGAAAAGAAAUCAAUAGAGAUUGCGUCAGUAGCGGCGAGCGAAAGCGUAAGAGGGCAAACCCAGUGCUUGCACUGGGGGUUGUAGGACUGCAAUGUGCAAGAGGUGAGUUUAGCAGAACAUUCUGGAAAGUAUAGCCAUAGAGGGUGAUAGUCCCGUAUGCGAAAAACAAACCUUAGCUAGCAGUAUCCUGAGUAGGGCGGGACACGAGAAAUCCUGUCUGAAGCUGGGUCGACCACGAUCCAACCCUAAAUACUAAUACCAGAUCGAUAGUGCACAAGUACCGUGAGGGAAAGGUGAAAAGAACUGAGGUGAUCAGAGUGAAAUAGAACCUGAAACCAUUUGCUUACAAUCAUUCAGAGCACUAUGUAGCAAUACAGUGUGAUGGACUGCCUUUUGCAUAAUGAGCCUGCGAGUUGUGGUGUCUGGCAAGGUUAAGCAAACGCGAAGCCGUAGCGAAAGCGAGUCUGAAUAGGGCGCUUAGUCAGAUGCUGCAGACCCGAAACGAAGUGAUCUAUCCAUGAGCAAGUUGAAGCUAGUGUAAGAACUAGUGGAGGACUGAACCCAUAGGCGUUGAAAAGCCCCGGGAUGACUUGUGGAUAGGGGUGAAAGGCCAAUCAAACUUCGUGAUAGCUGGUUCUCUCCGAAAUAUAUUUAGGUAUAGCGUUGUGUCGUAAUAUAAGGGGGUAGAGCACUGAAUGGGCUAGGGCAUACACCAAUGUACCAAACCCUAUCAAACUCCGAAUACCUUAUAUGUAAUCACAGCAGUCAGGCGGCGAGUGAUAAAAUCCGUCGUCAAGAGGGAAACAACCCAGACUACCAGCUAAGGUCCCUAAAUCUUACUUAAGUGGAAAACGAUGUGAAGUUACUUAAACAACCAGGAGGUUGGCUUAGAAGCAGCCAUCCUUUAAAGAAAGCGUAAUAGCUCACUGGUCUAGUGAUUUUGCGCGGAAAAUAUAACGGGGCUAAAGUAAGUACCGAAGCUGUAGACUUGCGCACAACUUAGAUUAUUUAAGUUUAGAAUAUGAGAAACUAAGUUAUAUGUUUAGUUAUAUUUUUACUGAUUUUUAUAGAGUAAAGAUAGAAAUAAAACUUAGUAAAAUCAGUAAAAAUAUUCUUAGACUAAAGUUAAGUAGUUUAAGUUGUGUGCAAGUGGUAGGAGAGCGUUCUAUUUGCGUCGAAGGUAUACCGGUAAGGAGUGCUGGAGCGAAUAGAAGUGAGCAUGCAGGCAUGAGUAGCGAUAAUUAAUGUGAGAAUCAUUAACGCCGUAAACCCAAGGUUUCCUACGCGAUGCUCGUCAUCGUAGGGUUAGUCGGGUCCUAAGUCGAGUCCGAAAGGGGUAGACGAUGGCAAAUUGGUUAAUAUUCCAAUACCAACAUUAGUGUGCGAUGGAAGGACGCUUAGGGCUAAGGGGGCUAGCGGAUGGAAGUGCUAGUCUAAGGUCGUAGGAGGUUAUACAGGCAAAUCCGUAUAACAAUACUCCGAGAACUGAAAGGCUUUUUGAAGUCUUCGGAUGGAUAGAAGAACCCCUGAUGCCAUCGAGCCAAGAAAAGUUUCUAAGUUUAGCUAAUGUUGCCCGUACCGUAAACCGACACAGGUGGGUGGGAUGAGUAUUCUAAGGCGCGUGGAAGAACUCUCUUUAAGGAACUCUGCAAAAUAGCACCGUAUCUUCGGUAUAAGGUGUGGUUCGCUUCGUAUUAGGAUUUACUCCGAAAGCGAAGAAACUUACAACAAAGAGUCCCUCCCGACUGUUUACCAAAAACACAGCACUCUGCUAACUCGUAAGAGGAUGUAUAGGGUGUGACGCCUGCCCGGUGCUCGAAGGUUAAUUGAUGGGGUUAGCAUUAGCGAAGCUCUUGAUCGAAGCCCGAGUAAACGGCGGCCGUAACUAUAACGGUCCUAAGGUAGCGAAAUUCCUUGUCGGUUAAAUACCGACCUGCAUGAAUGGCGUAACGAGAUGGGAGCUGUCUCAAAGAGGGAUCCAGUGAAAUUGUAGUGGAGGUGAAAAUUCCUCCUACCCGCGGCAAGACGGAAAGACCCCGUGGACCUUUACUACAGCUUGACACUGCUAUUUGGAUAAGAAUGUGCAGGAUAGGUGGGAGGCUUUGAGUAUAUGACGCCAGUUGUAUAUGAGCC